rnacentral:lncRNA from 1 species
CCAUAUGAAUUUAAAAAAGAGAGUGGGGAAACAUGGACUGGCUUAUGUAGAGCGAUGGUAAAAACUGAGGCUCUAAGAAACAGUAAUAAGAGUAAAAAAGCAAAAAUUUUGCAACUCAUGUCUCUGGUAGUGAGACGGCUCAGACAGCAUGUUGGAAUGCUGGCCAAACAAGUCACAAAAAAAACAGGAGGAGUAGAAGAGGUAACCCGGGCAGUUGAGCACUGGAAAGCCCAAGCUCUGUUAGCACAGCAACAGGCGGGCCAAACUCAUGAUAUGCUCGAGCAAGUAAAGCAGGAAAAUAAAAAAUUGGAAACAGCUGUAAAAAACCUGCAGAAGCAAAAAGUGCCGUCCCCUGUUAUAAAUAUUGGUAGUAAACAGCAGGCUUCAGGUAGCUACCCUGUGCCUGAAGAAUGGGGACAGAAGUGGAAAAAGGUGGUCCUAGUAAAAUUAAAAGAUGAAACGGGGUCCACUGCAUUGCAACCAAUACCUUAUGAUAAAAGCCAGGUUCCAGUUAAACUUAAACUGAGACCUAGACUGGUGCCUGUCAGAACGGAACAAGUAAGUGCACAGAAGGAAAGAGUAGCACAUAAUACUUUCACAGAAUUGGUAAAUCAGAUGAAGGAAAAUAUGGAACAGUUCACAGAGCACAUUAGGAGACAGGAGCUGCGACUCGAUCGCAGGGAAGUGAAUAAAAAAGCAUUUCAAAGUAAAAAACCAAAAUUAAAUGGGUUAACACCUAAAAUUGAUACAAUAACACAUGGAGCUGCCCAAAACCAGUUAACUGCACCAAAAAAGGGCACUCCUGCCAUCCAUUUGGCAUGCACACAAAAGCAACAGACAUUGGGGGAACAAAUUCAGGUUUUACAAGAUCAGGUAACUACCCCCAUUCUCCUCUCAAAGCCAGGAUAAAAAACAGGGGUGCGGUUCCUAACUGUGCAGGUUCCCAACUGCUUUGACCCACGGAACCACACUCUACGCUCAUAUUUGAAAAUAGAAUAUUCUUUCUCAAAUAUUUUUACAUACCGGUUAAGGUUUGUCCUUUAUAUGCUUUCUUAGUUUGUUAAAUUUGCUGUUGCUGCCUGUACUUUCAAAUAUCUUGAUAGAGUUAAUCUCUCUUAGCUCAGGUCUCACUACCUUCCUAAGUUGCUCUGCACCCCCACCC